ACCUUCACCAACCCCCUCUCUCUCUCUCCGAGUCCAUCUCUCUCUGUCUCCCUGUCUGUAUCUAUUUUCUCCGAGUCUCAAACUGGUUUCACAUUUUGGUUAGACAUUUCCUUCCUUUUUCUUCCUUCAUUAUAUUGAAAAUGGAAAAAUCCGAUCAAAAACAGAAGCAGCGCCACGAGCAAAACAUAUUGUUACCUCAACAACAACAACAUAAGCAAGGCUACUCCGAUCAUGUCUGUCGAGAUAGAGUUCAGGAUCAACCUCAGAGCAAAGUACAAGCAGGUCUAAUUAGAGAAGUAGACCAGGAGGUGAAGUUAGCUGCCACCGCGAUCAGCCUCAACGUACGGUUGAGAUCAUCGUCCCACAUGCCGCACCACAUGCAAGACCGUGCUCUCCGCCGCACCAGAUCACUCAUCGACUCAGCCGCCGCCGCAGCAAAAGCACUUUCCUCCAAACCACGGCCAAACCCAACUCACAUUGCUCGAGCUCUCAAAAAGGAGUUUGACUCGUUGUACGGACCGGCGUGGCACUGCGUGGUGGGAAAGAGUUUCGGGUCGUUCGUGACUCACUCGCCGGGUGGUUUCCUCUAUUUUUCUAUCGACGACUCGCUGUCGGUGCUGCUCUUUAAGACGGAGGUUCAGUUGGUCACCGAACAACAACCACGGAAACCGGCGAAUUGAGCGGCCUAGCUUUUGAAAAUUUUGUGUUUUCUGAGAAUGACACUUGCCAGGUGGCUGUACUGCAUGACACGUUUUGCUAUGGACGACUUUAAGCCAUGAGUUUGAUGAUUGAGAGGACAUAUAUAUUUCUGCCAUAAAGCUCGUGUAAAAAGUUGUGCAAAGUUGGGAAAUGAUUCCUUUGGUAGUUGGUAGGGUAGGCAUGGGUUUUUACAGUGUUCAAGUGAAGCAGAGAGUGCAUGGUGUUUGGUUUCAUUGAUCAGCCAAAUCAGGGUCUUUUCUAUCUGAUAAAAACAGAGACCUGAAGGCACAAGGGGUUCUGCUACUGCAAAUUUAUUUUCUUUUCUGAUAUUUCAUCAGACUGCACAUUCCAUAAAUACACGCAAAGAUGAAAGCUCUGGGAAAUAAUGAAAUGACACUCCUCUGCUUUGAAAAGGUGAAGGCCACUGGCCCAGGGUUGUGUUAUAUUUUGACCUGCACAAAAUUGAUCUAUAUUCAAUUCUGGAGUUUAGAUUUUAUAAGCAUUUUGUUUGUUAUGAUGAAACUUGUUUGGGUUUUUCACUAGCAAGUCAUGACCAGUCUUUUACAAUACUGUCAUCUGCUAUGAUUUGAAAGUUUGUGCCAUGUACCAAGGCUUGGAUCCAAUG